ACUAAGGACUUCGGUCUUUUAGAGACCGCGAGACCUCAAUCCGAGUUAUUCUAGGUAAGCUUGUAUCCAUAGACGGUGUAUUCGUCUGUUUGCUGCUAAGUUUUUAAGGUUUUACGUACCGACGACGACAUUUCCAUGAAUGUGUCUUAUAAAGCAAUGUAUCCAGUGGAGUCGAUUCUUUCCUUUUACAUUCCCAUCGGACUAUUGAUACUCGUCAUAGCAGGUUUUUGGAUGUGCGUUUGCUACCACAGAUUUAGGAGUCAGUAUAUUCCACCUUCUCCAGUUCCUCAAAGGCGCAGAAGGACUUAAGUGCCCCGAAAAGACGAAGCCAAUCAUCCUGCUGUUGAGACGGAGUACAAAAUGGACUUCAGUUUAUCCUCGAUGGAUGCUGCAAUAAUUUGUAUCUUAUGUGCUGUCUUCAACUGGAGGGUUAUAGCUGCAAUUUUUCUAAAAAUUCUCUACUUUAUUAUAAAUUUUCCAGAGAGACUAGCAUGUAGUUUCAAUAUGCUGAAACAUUACAUUUUGGUGACUAUGCUAGACUGGUUCUUUACAUUUCUUCUUCUUUUAAUGGUUCAUUGGGAUGAUUUACAAAUAAAUCGUGCUAUCACAUUAGUAGCACAAUUCAUAAUGACACAUGAAAUGGCCUAUAAUGUUAGAUAUAUGUUGUAAUAGUGGUCUGGAAUUCAGGCAUUUUGAGAUUCUUUGCCAGACUUUUUUUUUUUAAAGAUUUUGGAUAAGAUCUUGCGAAAGUGAGUUUUUUAAGACAUUUAAUGCAAAUUCAUGUUGUACGAACUGACUUCUAACUUGGUUAGUAUAGUUUUUAAUAAAUGAGGGUCCUUCAACUGACUGUAUUAUUACUUGCAAUAAUUAAAGAUUAAAUUCAU